rnacentral:rRNA from 1 species
CAGCAGUGGGGAAUCUUGCACAAUGGAGGAAACUCUGAUGCAGCGAUGCCGCGUGAGUGAAGAAGGCCUUUGGGUUGUAAAGCUCUUUCGUCGGGGAAGAAAAUGACUGUACCCGAAUAAGAAGGUCCGGCUAACUUCGUGCCAGCAGCCGCGGUAAUACGAAGGGACCUAGCGUAGUUCGGAAUUACUGGGCUUAAAGAGUUCGUAGGUGGUUGAAAAAGUUGGUGGUGAAAUCCCAGAGCUUAACUCUGGAACUGCCAUCAAAACUUUUCAGCUAGAGUUUGAUAGAGGAAAGCAGAAUUUCUAGUGUAGAGGUGAAAUUCGUAGAUAUUAGAAAGAAUACCAAUUGCGAAGGCAGCUUUCUGGAUCAUUACUGACACUGAGGAACGAAAGCAUGGGUAGCGAAGAGGAUUAGAUACCCUCGUAGUCCAUGCCGUAAACGAUGUGUGUUAGACGUUGGAAAUUUAUUUUCAGUGUCGCAGCGAAAGCGAUAAACACACCGCCUGGGGAGUACGACCGCAAGGUUAAAACUCAAAUGAAUUGACGGGGACCCGCACAAGUAGUGGAGCAUGUGGUUUAAUUCGAAGAUACGCGCAGAACCUUACCAACACUUGACAUGUUCGUCGCGACUUUAAGAGAUUAAAGUUUUCGGUUCGGCCGGACGAAACACAGGUGCUGCAUGGCUGUCGUCAGCUCGUGUCGUGAGAUGUUGGGUUAAGUCCCGCAACGAGCGCAACCCUCACUUUUAGUUGCCAUCAUUUAGUUGGGCACUCUGAAAGAACUGCCAGUGAUAAGCUGGAGGAAGGUG